GCGAUAAGAAUGACAGGAAGAGAUGCAGAGGUCAAAGGUCAAUAUACCUGUAGGGGAGAAACAAGUCGAGAGAGAAAAUGUCACCCAAGGUCGCUCUUCACAAAAGCAGUUCCCACCAGAGAGAGGUUUCAUAAGUGACCGCCGUGAACUAAUGCACAGGAAGCCUUUUAAUCACCUGUCGAGAGGAGCGCAGUGAAGACAUGACGCCAGGUACCUGGUAACACCUGCUGAGUGUGCAACGUCACGAGAGGCUGCGGUGGAUUUUGUGACACUUGAGGAAAUGAAUGCCAGACACAGUUUUCCUCUAACCCAGUGUUGACCUCCUGAAGUUUAAUGUCAGCACGGCUCAGCGAAGUCCUGCAGCCUGUCUUCCUGAAGCCCCAGUGAAUGCAGACCACCAGAUCCUGAUUUAUUCAGGCUCUUUAUUUGACAUUGUUGUCAAACUUGAUUACAAUUAUGUAUAUCAGAGUCCUUUUUGUUGUUGUUGAUUGUUGCAGGGUGUUAUAAUCAGUUUAGUGUGAUACGCCUCAAUGGCAGACACAGCUGUUUGAGAGGCUACAGGCGUCUGCUUGGGAAAAAAUAAUAAAAACUGAGGUGCACUGAAAUGAUUACUUCUUUUAGUGGCAGUUGUGGAUAGUCAACCCGAUCUCAGAUGGCAGACCACAGCCAAUUAUGUCUCCAAAGAAGUUUUGCACUUAACUAAAAUAUGCAAAACCAACUUUUGCAAACGUGUCCUGUGUUUUUCCAUUUCAAACCACUGAAAAAGGUCUGAAAGUCAUUAGUUAUUCAAACAAGACUAAUAGUCUGUAGUCUGUUCUUUAACAUGUAACAUAAUUACAUCCUACAAUACAAAAGUGUUCUACUGACAACAUAAUGAGGAUUUUCGGAUAUGUAAACCCUCUUCAGUUGUGGAAUGUGAAGUUUUAGCCGAAGGUGGAACUAGAACAAUGUUCAUGAAAAAUCAAAAGCCCCAGUAGUCUUGAAAAUAGCAGAAUUCAGAAGUUAUAAAAAUAAUAAUAAUUUGAAAUCAUCAACAUGAAACUAGUUGAGAUAUCCUUCUCUGAGCCAAGGAGUUGCGUGGACAGACUGCUGAGCUGAUCAACUGUCCAACAUCCUUACGCAGUUUGUUCUGUAAAAUAUCUUUCCAAUCAAGAUUUUCUGUCAAACCUAAUUUUGCUUUUGCUUCCAAAACCUUUAAUCUAGUUCUAUCCAUUCAACAAUUCAACACGAAGGAGCAGUGCACAUAAUCAGAGCUCCUACUAGAUAUCUGAACCGCUCACCUCAUCCUUAAGUCUGAGCUCAGACAGCCAAUGAAGGAAGCUCCGCAAUCUUAUUCUUUCGGUCAGUACCCAUAGGUCAUGACCAUGGGUGAGGGUUAAUCAACUGGUAAAUUCACCAUCACUGUCAGGUACAACACUCACAUAACUUUGGACAAUACACAAGUCUGCUCUAUUUCAUAUACACAAUUAAGAGAUUAGUAAAUUAAGUCAUGAAGUAAAUUGAAGUCACAGCCCUAAAAAUGGAGUAGAAGAACAGUCAUAUUUAUUUCUUUGUGCUAAUCAUGAAAAUGGUUGUUAGUAAUGCCCAUUACAAGUCUGGCUAACACCCCACUGUACUGUUAAAUGCUCAACAGGCAUUUAUAUUUCACAGUUGUAUAUACAGUUGUCAAGAUCGAACACUGACACCAACAGUAUCAUGUUGCUGUCAGUCCCACACUGAUUCUCACAAACCCUGAGGCAUAUAAAUGUGUGAGAGUGUGUUGCGUUAAUUUUAGACAAGACUGGCAGCAUGCUUGUAAACGCUGCAAUAUUUGAUUGCAAAUCUUUCUUUAGCAGUGCGCUCAGAAGGUACUCUGACUCAGUGAAUGGUAAAACAUUUAGAACAUUUUAGUUUGACUUCAUACGGGCGAGUUGUCUGGCUCACCAUCAUGAAUUAUAUUCAAUCUGCGAGUCAACAGCCCCAAGAAUGUUAAAAUUCAAAUGGUCAUGUGGAUAAUUAGAACACAAUUCGAUUCAUGUGAAUCUGGCUAACAACAGUAGUCUUCUUAAAACUCUCUUUGGUAAGUAAGUCAUUAUCAAGCCGGAGCACCAGAUGGGCCCCUCAGAUUCUCCUCAUGACUUGUCAGAAACAUUGUGGGUGUGUUUAGGGAGAGAAAAAAAUAGAAAGGGACAAACUAGGAAGUAGUUGGAUGCAGCCACUGAGCCCCGCCUGUCAGUUCACAUGAUGAAUGAAUCAGUUUCACAUCAAUCUGAUGCUGAGCAGCUAUAAUUGGAUUAUUUACACAGCGCAGAGGCACAUGGGGUCUGACUAUCUUAACCCCAGGUGGGCGCUGGACUUCUGCUCUCAGGCCAUGGACUCUGACCUACAGUCAAUAUCCCUCCGCUGUUCUAGUUAUCCCCAGCUAACCAGUUAACACUGUGAAAACCUUAUGGUUAGGCCUGGGGUUAGCCCAUUUCUAUUUUUCUUUAAUUCAGAGCAUAAUGCAGUGUGCUGUGCCCUCUUAUUAAUUCUAUGACCUUUUAGAAAGAUUGUGUUGAGACUUGUUAAAAGUUUAGGCUACGCAUUUUUGACUCCACAUAGGAGAAUUUAAUUUUGCUUAAUUCAUUAAUUAUUAAUAAAAUCACAAAUCAUCAAUGGCCAAUCCAACAUCUGUGUAGGGGCUCUUAAACUUAAACUAACUUAAUUAAACUAAACAUUUUUUAUUUUAUUAUUACAUGAUAAGAAGGUAAGCAAAUAAAUAACUGGACACAAUGCUUGAAAUUAGACAUUAUUAAAUCAUUAUUGCAAAUUAAUAGCUUAUCUUUUGUCUGUGGAUGCCCCCUAAUAGUCGACCAAACUGU